CUCAUGCGGGCAAUUCCUCAACUGCCAUUCUCUCGGCUAUGUCUAGGUUUGCAUCAAACUGGAAGAAGUAACCAGGGGCAGCAGGCACAGCAGUGCAUAUGGUCAAUCUAGCUGCUACCAUAGCUUUUGGGCACAGAACUUUCCCUUGGCAAGAAUGAACAGAGGAGGAACGUCAAACAUUGGAUAAUCAAACAUGAAACAAGGUGUAAAUGCCAAAAAGAGAAGCCAAGGGCAAAAGAGGGCAAGCCCCAUAAAAGAAAAAAAAAGACAGGCAAAUCCUCCAGAGACGAAGAGGAGAUGUUUCUGACAAGUGUGUCAGCCCAUUCACUAUGCACUCCGGGUGAAGAUAGGACAAGCAUCAUCCAGCUUACAAAAGAAACCAGCAAAUCAACCUUAGUAGAGAAGGGCAGAGCUUGCUGAAGUCAAAAAGAAGAUCACUAGGAAAAAGUUUACUCAUCCAGACAAGAAGGUCACACACUCUCUCCAUCCACUGAUGUAAAAUUGUUUUCUUGUUUCCUGUCUCAAAUUCCAACAACCCAUUUGUGUCAGAAUAAAGGGAGAGAGCAGAGACAAAUCAGUUCGUUAUACCACAGAUCAUCAGUGGAAAGAAGGGCGCAUUCAGACGAUCAAUUUUCAGCUCCCAAGACCAUUUAUUUCACACUUCUGUCAUCUCUGGUUGCCUUUCCAGCAAUCUGUCAACAACUUCCAUCUGCCAAAGACACACAUUUAGCAUCCAAAAUUAAUGAUAAAGGAUCCAACUCUCCACCUAUGGAGAUUACGUUUGGCUCCAAAAAUAAAUCCACGCAUUCACAAGAAAA